AGCGCAUGGUCAUGCCCCUCCGCCUCUACUUUGUCUGGCAGGCAGGAGGCACCAGAAAGUUUAAGCAAAAAAAAAGUGCCCGUGACUUAUCAAUGUCUUGGCCGACGAGGGCGCCGAGAAUAUGUUUUUGGUCUGCUAGAGAAUUUGCCUCUUCAAAUGUUGUGUAAACCUUUUUGGAUGAGGGAAUAUUUUUUUAGAAUGUGCACAUAAGGUACUUCUCAGAGAACAUUUAAGGAUGGAGAUUUAUGCCCAUUUUGAUGGGAAAGGUGCUUCCAUGGACUUCUUAGGAAGACGGGGAUUGUGAGGAGAGACCGAGACAGAUGAGAGCUGGGUAGAGAAAUGGCGAGGGAU